rnacentral:rRNA from 1 species
CGAAAUUCCUUGUCGGGCAAGUUCCGACCUGCACGAAUGGCAUAACGAUGGCCACACUGUCUCCUCCUGAGACUCAGUGAAGUUGAAGUGUUUGUGAUGAUGCAAUCUCCCCGCGGCUAGACGGAAAGACCCCAUGAACCUUUACUGUAGCUUUGCAUUGGACUUUGAACCGAUCUGUGUAGGAUAGGCGGGAGCCUGUGAAACCACAACGCCAGUUGUGGCGGAGGCGUCCUUGAAAUACCGCCCUGAUUUGUUUGAGGUUCUAACCUGGGACAGUCAUCCUGUCCGGGGACCGUGCAUGGUAGGCAGUUUGACUGGGGCGGUCUCCUCCUAAAGGGUAACGGAGGAGUGCGAAGGUACGCUAGGUACGGUCGGAAAUCGUGCUGAUAGUGCAAUGGCAAAAGCGUGCUUGACUGCGAGACCCACAAGUCGAGCAGAUACGAAAGUAGGUCAUAGUGAUCCGGUGGCUCUGUAUGGAAGGGCCAUCGCUCAACGGAUAAAAGGUACUCUGGGGAUAACAGGCUGAUACCGCCCAAGAGUUCAUAUCGACGGCGGUGUUUGGCACCUCGAUGUCGGCUCAUCUCAUCCUGGGGCUGUAGCCGGUCCCAAGGGUAUGGCUGUUCGCCAUUUAAAGAGGUACGUGAGCUGGGUUUAAAACGUCGUGAGACAGUUUUGUCCCUAUCUGCCGUGGGCGCUGGAAGAUUGACGGGGGCUGCUCCUAGUACGAGAGGACCGGAGUGGACUCACCUCUGGUGUACCGGUUGUCACGCCAGUGGCAUCGCCGGGUAGCUAUGUGGGGAAGAGAUAACCGCUGAAAGCAUCUAAGCGGGAAACUUGCCUGAAGAUAAGUCUUCCUGGAGGCUAGACCUCCCUAAAGAGUCGUUCGAGACCAGGACGUUGAUAGGAUGGGUGUGUAAGUGCUGUGAGGCACUCAGCUAACCAUUACUAAUUGCUCGUGAAGCUUGAUCCU